UGUAAGUCAUGCAAGUUAACGAUGAUGACUAAUCGUUGCCGAUACAACAGUCAGGGCAAGCGAAAGCGAUAAGUCAUCCACCUGGGGGAGUACGACGCAAAGGUUGAAACUCAAAGGGAAUUGACGGGGGCCCGCACAAGCGGAGGGAACAUGUGGUUUAAUUCGAUGAUACGCGAGGAACCUUUACCCGGGCUCGAACGGCAAAGGAAGGAUCAAGAGAUUGUGACGCCCUUUCGGGGCCUUUGUCGAGGUGCUGCAUGGUUGUCGUCAGCUCGUGUCGUGAGAUGUUGGCUCAAGUGCCAUAACGAGCGCAACCCUUGCCGCCAGUUACCAUCAAGUGAAGUUGGGGACUCUGGCGGGACUGCCACCGUAAGGUGUGAGGAAGGCGGGGAUGACGUCAAAUCAGCACGGCCCUUACGUCCGGGGCGACACACGUGUUACAAUGACAGCUACAGAGGGAAGCCACCCGGCGACGGGGCGCAGAUCUCGAAAAGCUGCCUCAGUUCGGACUGGAGUCUGCAACCCGACUCCACGAAGCUGGAUUCGCUAGUAAUCGCGCAUCAGCCAUGGCGCGGUGAAUACGUUCCCGGGCCUUGUACACACCGCCCGUCAAGCCAUGAAAGCCGGGGGCGCCUGAAGUCCGCGACCGCGAGGAGCGGCCUAGGGCGAAACUGGUAAUUGGGGCUAAGUCGUAACAAGGUAGCCG
rnacentral:rRNA from 1 species